GUCUUUUUGAGUUAUUUUUGAAGUCUAACCUGCCCACUGAAUAAUUUUUUAAAUGGCCGCAGUAUUUUAACUGUGCAAAGGUAGCAUAAUCAUUAGUCUUUUAAUUGAAGGCUGGAAUGAAUGGUUGGACGAAGUAUAAGCUGUUUCAUAUGAAUUUUUAAUAGAAUUUUAUAUUUUAGUUAAAAAGCUAAAAUGUGAUUAAAAGACGAGAAGACCCUAUAAAUCUUUACAUUUUGUGUUGAUUAAAUUUUUUUGAUUUGUUUUGUUUUUUUAAUUUUUAAUGUUUUGUUGGGGUGAUGUUAAAAUUUAAUAAACUUUUAAUUAAAAGUUAAAUCAUUAAUUUAUGAAUAAUUGAUCCAUUAAUAAUGAUUAUAAGAUUAAGUUACUUUAGGGAUAACAGCGUAAUUUUUUUUGAGAGUUCAUAUCGAUAAAAAAGUUUGCGACCUCGAUGUUGGAUUAAGAUAUAUUUUAGGUGUAGCCGUUUAAAUAUAAAGUCUGUUCGACUUUUAAAUUCUUACAU
rnacentral:rRNA from 1 species